AUACGGAGGGAGCGAGCGUUAAUCGGAAUUACUGGGCGUAAAGCGCGCGUAGGCGGCUUUGUAAGUCGGAUGUGAAAGCCCAGGGCUCAACCCUGGAAUUGCAUUCGAUACUGCAGAGCUAGAGUAUGGUAGAGGGAAGUGGAAUUUCCGGUGUAGCGGUGAAAUGCGUAGAUAUCGGAAGGAACACCAGUGGCGAAGGCGACUUCCUGGGCCAAUCCUGACGCUGAGGUGCGAAAGCGUGGGGAGCAAACAGGAUUAGAAACCCCAGUAGUCC
rnacentral:rRNA from 1 species